GAUGAACGCUGGCGGCGUGCCUAAUACAUGCAAGUCGAGCGAAGCGGGGACGGGGGAGUAAACCGGGGAUAACCUCCUAGAAGACUGGGUUAACUACGGGGAAACCGAUCUAAACGGGAAACUAUUAGAUGGAUCCGCGCUGCAUUAGCCAGUUGGUAAGGUAACGGCUUACCAAGGCAACGACGCGUAGCCGACCUGAGAGGGUGUUCUGCCAAACUGGCACUGAGGCGCGGUCCGUACUCCUAGGGCAGGCAGCAGGAGGGAAGUUUCCCCAAUGGGCGAAAGCCUGACGGAGCAACGCCGCGUGAGUGAUGAAGGUCUUCGGAUCGUAAAACUCUGUUGUUAGGGAGGCGGUACCUAAGCAGAAAGCACCGGCUAACUACGUGCCAGCAGCCGCGGUAAUAC
rnacentral:rRNA from 1 species